rnacentral:rRNA from 1 species
UACGGGGGGGGCAAGCGUUGUUCGGAAUUACUGGGCGUAAAGGGCUCGUAGGUGGCCAACUAAGUCAGACGUGAAAUCCCCAGGCUUAACCUGGGAACUGCGUCUGAUACUGGAUGGCUAGAGUUUGGGAGAGGGAUGCGGAAUUCCAGGUGUAGCGGUGAAAUGCGUAGAUAUCUGGAGGAACACCGGUGGCGAAGGCGGCAUCCUGGACCAACACUGACGCUGAGGAGCGAAAGUGUGGGGGGCGAACAGG